UGGGGGAUAUUGGACAAUGGGGGAAACCCUGAUCCAGCGAUGCCGCGUGAGGGAAGAAGGUUUUCGGAUUGUAAACCUCUGUGGACAGCGACGAUAAUGACGGUAGCUGUUUAGAAAGCCACGGCUAACUACGUGCCAGCAGCCGCGGUAAUACGUAGGUGGCGAGCGUUGUCCGGAAUUACUGGGUGUAAAGGGAGUGUAGGCGGGAAGGCAAGUCAGAAGUGAAAAUUAUGGGCUUAACCCAUAACCUGCUUUUGAAACUGUUUUUCUUGAGUGAGGCAGAGGCAAGCGGAAUUCCUAGUGUAGCGGUGAAAUGCGUAGAUAUUAGGAGGAACACCAGUGGCGAAGGCGGUCAACUGGACGAUAACUGACGCUGAGGCGCGAAAGCGU
rnacentral:rRNA from 1 species